GAUUAUCGAAGGACAAGCCUUAAUUCAUAAUC
rnacentral:ncRNA from 2 species